rnacentral:rRNA from 1 species
CCUACGAGCGGCAGCAGUGGGGGAUAUUGCACAAUGGGGGGAACCCUGAUGCAGCGACGCCGCGUGGGUGAAGAAGCGCCUCGGCGCGUAAAGCCCUGUCAGCAGGGAAGAAAAUGACGGUACCUGAAGAAGAAGCCCCGGCUAACUACGUGCCAGCAGCCGCGGUACUACGUAGGGUGCCAGCGUUAUCCGGAUGUACUGGGUGUAAAGGGGGUGCAGUCGGCGAUGCAAGCCAGGAGUGAAAGCCCGGGGCCCAACCCCGAGACUGCUCUUGGAACUGCGUGGCGGGAGUGCAGGAGGGGCAGGCGGAAUUCCUGGUGUAGCGGUGAAAUGCGGAGAUAGCAGGAGGAACAACGGUGGCGAAGGCGACUAUCUGGCACAUAACUGACGCUGAGGAGCGAAAGCGUGGGUAGCAAACAGGAUUAGAUACCCGGGUAGUC